UGCGUAGGCGGAAUAUUAAGUCAGUGGUGAAAUCCUGCGGCUCAACCAUAGAACUGCCAUUGAUACUGAUAUUCUUGAAUGUAGUUGAGGUAGGCGGAAUGUGUAAUGUAGCGGUGAAAUGCUUAGAUAUUACACAGAACACCGAUUGCGAAGGCAGCUUACUAAACUAUGAUUGACGCUGAGGCACGAAAGCGUGGGGAGCAAACAGGAUUAGAUACCCUGGUAGUCC
rnacentral:rRNA from 1 species